ACGUCCAUAGCUCAGUUGGAAGAGUUCCGUGCUACGAACGCGGGGGUCGCAGGUUCGAGUCCUGCUGGACGUGCCA
rnacentral:tRNA from 1 species